rnacentral:rRNA from 1 species
GUGACUUUAGGUCUCCUGAAGGAACGUUGAAGACGACGACGUUGAUAGGCCGGGUGUGUAAGCGCAGCGAUGCGUUGAGCUAACCGGUACUAAUGAACCGUGAGGCUUAACCUUACAACGCCGAAG